rnacentral:rRNA from 1 species
GCAUGCCUACAACAUAGCGUUAAUGAAAUGGAUCCCAUUAGAAAUCCAUAGUUAAGCGUUCUUAGGAUAGAGUAGUACUGGGAUGGGUGACUGACCGAGAAUUCUUAGUGCUUUACAUGCC